GAUGAACGCUGGCGGCGUGCCUAACACAUGCAAGUCGAGCGAUUCUCUUCGGAGAAGAGCGGCGGACGGGUGAGUAACGCGUGGGUAACCUGCCCUGUACACACGGAUAACAUACCGAAAGGUAUGCUAAUACGGGAUAAUAUAUGAAAGUCGCAUGGCUUUUGUAUCAAAGCUUUUGCGGUACAGGAUGGACCCGCGUCUGAUUAGCUAGUUGGUGAGGUAAUGGCUCACCAAGGCGACGAUCAGUAGCCGACCUGAGAGGGUGAUCGGCCACACUGGAACUGAGACACGGUCCAGACUCCUACGGGUGGCAG
rnacentral:rRNA from 1 species